GGUUAGCAAAACAGUCCGACAGGGAUUCGACUCUGAAUUUACCUGAAAGUUUAACGUUAAGUUACUCACGAUGAAGUUAUUCGAGUAUUUAUUUGUUACAUAUAACAGAAACUGUGCACUUCAGAAACAAGCCAUAAUAAUAGCGCUGAAUGUUUAACAGUGACAAAAACCAAACAAGGAAAUCAUCUUGUUGUGCGGACAGUGGACACAGAUUUUCCCUGUGAAAAAAUUAUCAGCCAUCUCUCCUGUACUGUUGACUCACGGGGAGCGGCAGUGGUCAAAGGUGUGGUUAACGGCUUAACUCGACGUCCCAAAAGAUCGGUCACACACUCCUUAAAGUGGCAUCGCCUGAAGGGCACUGAUAACACGCAUCCUGCGUUCCUAUUGGUUGAUGUCCAGAAAACCAGCAAUCUCACAUGGAAGAAUCUGUACAUUAGAGGAAAGAAGUGACUGAGAUGUCAGAUCAGGAAAAAAGAUGAAGCGACCAAGGAUGGACAAAGAGGCGACAGACAGAGCUCCCCUGAGGUGCCAGGAUGAAUAAGCUGGGGAAGAAGCUUGGUGUCAACAGGUGGACGUUUGACGGGAGAGGCGUGGAUGUGUCCAGCCAGUGGAACCUGGCGUCUGCUUGAACGCCCGUCAACACUGUACGCACCCACGUAUUCACACAAAUGCGCAUGCAUGUAAAGGGGGGAAAAACUCUUCACAGCUCUUCGCUUUCUGACAGAUUGAUCGGAGUUGCCAGAACGCUCUUCGGCUGUCAGUUUUGUAGCAACUAAAUCAUUCUCCCCAAAGAUUUAAGCAUUUGAAAUUAAGAUUUUACGCUGCGAAUCAUAUGCCAAAAAAGCACCUAUUGCAUGUCACAUGCAUUAAACAUUCAGACGACAUUGUUUUGAUGAAUUACUGACCAUCCGUUGACCCCCUGAUGGUUCUCUACUGACCAGGAACACUGAAUAUUUGACAACUUUUCUAAUAUGGUUCCCUUUGGCGGCAGAUAACCGGUGCAUUUUGAAAUCUG
rnacentral:lncRNA from 1 species